UGAGGAAUAUUGGGCAAUGCCCGCAAGGGUGACCCAGCAACGCCGCGUGGAGGAUGAAUGUCGUAAGAUUGUAAACUCCUGUUAGAGGGGAAGAAUAGUACCGGUUGGACCGGUAUAUGACUGUACCCUCAGAGAAAGCCCCGGCUAACUACGUGCCAGCAGCCGCGGUAAUACGUAGGGGGCAAGCGUUGUCCGGAUUUACUGGGUGUAAAGGGCGCGCAGGCGGGAUAAAAAGUCAGUGGUGAAAUCCUACAGCUUAACUGUAGAACUGCCUUUGAUACUUUUAUUCUUGAGUUCGGGAGAGAGAGACGGAAUGCCAGGUGUAGUGGUGAAAUACGUAGAUAUCUGGAAGAACACCAGUUGCGAAGGCGGUCUCUUGGUCCGACACUGACGCUGAGGCGCGAAAGCGUGGGGAGCAAACA
rnacentral:rRNA from 1 species